UUGAUUUAGGGAGCAAACAAGGCAAUUCCGUACUUAACAUUAACUUCACCAUUCCACCGAUUAUGCAAUUAGCAUGUGAUGAUGGUGAAGAUUCGAAGAGAGGUGAGAAGUCAAUUGCGUAACUUCACCUGCCUCAACCACUACUUCACUCAUUCGAUAGUGACUACGAGGAUAAGCUAGUACGUUAAAGUGGGUGGACUCUACUUUUCUGCUGUUAUGCUGCUCAUAGCUGCAAGCCUGCAAGGAUGAGCUAGUACGUUCCAGUGGGUGGACUCUGUACUUUUCUGCUGUGAUGCUGCUCAUAGCUGCAAGUAAGCCUGGUUAUUGGGCGAGGUCAGGGCGGGUCAUUAGCGGGUCAGUGACUCAGCAGGAUGCGGAUGCAGGGGGUGCAAGUUAAAGCUCAAAAUCCAUUUGUUGGCUAGUUUAGGAGUAAGUAAUCUUACACCAUUGUCAAAGCAUACUUAGUGUGUCCCUAAUCAUGAUUAGCGAUUCAAUUAGCGUGUUUGUUGCUUACCCUUUGCCAGAGUAUACUGUCAUAUUACACAUUUUUUAUUUGUCUUCGAGAAACUGGAUUGUAUUUCUGAACAACUGAUUGUGUAAGAUCAUAAGAUUCUGAUGGAUGUUUUGGUUUGAAUCUUCAGCAAAA